GGGUGUUUCCCACCAUCUGUUUGCUGUGUAGGAAAAUAAAACAGCACAUUCCCAGCCUGCAGUACUGUGUGGUUUUUUUUCAAGCCUAGAAAUGAGCUGCCCCUUUAAGAACAGGACAAGGUGCUGGCAGCAGCUUGUGUUCGCUGGAAGCUCCCAGGCUCAGAAGAGUGUGUGGGGAGCCAGCUGCCUGGAGGUCCCGGCUUGUUUGAACUUCAGCAAAGGACGAGAGAUCAGAGCCCUGAGUGAGGUGCUUGGUGCGGGAACAAAAGGAGGCCAACUCUGCAUCUUGGCAUUGGGCCCAAAAUUUAUACUGGAGCAUCUUGAAACU